AAAAUGAUAAUCAAUCAAAUGAAGCAGGCAUAUCAGGGGAUGGUGUACAAGCACAAGAGUCCUGCCUAGUGGUACAAAGUUCUACUGAAACUGAGAUAGUGGGUGAUGGUUUCCGCUGGAGAAAAUAUGGGCAGAAAGUUGUGAAGGGAAAUCCAUAUCCCAGAAGUUACUAUCGUUGCACGGGUCUAAAAUGCAAUGUCCGCAAGUAUGUGGAGAGAGUAUCGGAUGAUCCAGGAGCUUUUAUUACAACAUAUGAGGGGAAUGAGGGGAAACAUAACCAUGAGAUGCCUGUCAGGAGCACAAAUUCAGCAUCUGAACCCAAUUCACAGGCUCCUACCAGUAGAAGCAAGGCGUGAUCUCAUGAGUUGAAGGAGGCUAUUUGCAACUUGAUGUUUAUUCUGACCAUUAGAGUCUGAACAGAAAAGAAUUGAGAUGCUUCAGAAGCUAAAUAAUUGGGAGAAGCUGCAUUUCUACAUGUUUGUCCUGUGAAAUCCUGUGGCUAGCUCGCAGGCACUUCUUGGUGAAGACAGUUUUGUGUUUGGUAAUUCAGAUUAUUUUCCUUUCUUCCUUCGACCUAAUCUCUUAUUGCUGCCUGUGCUGUCUUUAGCUUUAUUAUUUAGGAAUACAAUUUUCUUUUUUUCCAAUUAUUUUUUUUUUUU
rnacentral:misc_RNA from 1 species